rnacentral:rRNA from 1 species
UGGGGAAUAUUGCACAAUGGGCGAAAGCCUGAUGCAGCAACGCCGCGUGAGUGAUGAAGGUCUUCGGAUUGUAAAGCUCUGUCUUUUGGGACGAUAAUGACGGUACCAAAGGAGGAAGCCACGGCUAACUACGUGCCAGCAGCCGCGGUAAUACGUAGGUGGCGAGCGUUGUCCGGAUUUACUGGGCGUAAAGGGUGCGUAGGCGGAUGUUUAAGUGAGAUGUGAAAUACCCGGGCUUAACUUGGGUGCUGCAUUUCAAACUGGAUAUCUAGAGUGCAGGAGAGGAGAAUGGAAUUCCUAGUGUAGCGGUGAAAUGCGUAGAGAUUAGGAAGAACACCAGUGGCGAAGGCGAUUCCCUGGACUGUAACUGACGCUGAGGCACGAAAGCGUGGGUAGCAAACAGGAUUAGAUACCCUGGUAGUCCACGCCGUAAACGAUGAGUACUAGGUGUAGGAGGUAUCGACCCCUUCUGUGCCGCAGUAAACACAUUAAGUACUCCGCCUGGGAAGUACGAUCGCAAGAUUAAAAC